rnacentral:rRNA from 1 species
AAAAUUAGCGGAUGACUUGUGGCUGGGGGUGAAAGGCCAAUCAAACCGGGAGAUAGCUGGUUCUCCCCGAAAGCUAUUUAGGUAGCGCCUCGUGAAUUCAUCUCCGGGGGUAGAGCACUGUUUCGGCAAGGGGGUCAUCCCGACUUACCAACCCGAUGCAAACUGCGAAUACCGGAGAAUGUUAUCACGGGAGACACACGGCGGGUGCUAACGUCCGUCGUGAAGAGGGAAACAACCCAGACCGCCAGCUAAGGUCCCAAAGUCAUGGUUAAGUGGGAAACGAUGUGGGAAGGCCCAGACAGCCAGGAUGUUGGCUUAGAAGCAGCCAUCAUUUAAAGAAAGCGUAAUAGCUCACUGGUCGAGUCGGCCUGCGCGGAAGAUGUAACGGGGCUAAACCAUGCACCGAAGCUGCGGCAGCGACACUGUGUGUUGUUGGGUAGGGGAGCGU